UACCUAAUCAGUUAGAUCCCAGUCGACUCCAGUACCAAUCGUGCUGAACAACACGGCAACGCCGAUCUGUUUUGCUCCAUUUUCAACUAGAGAGACAGCCGAUCCUAGAGUCGGCUGUGGUUAGAUCUCAAACUUAAUUCAGCUCAAUCUAACCUUAAAUUCCUACUUCGUGCUGAAGGCUAGUCAGAAACAUGUGCUUCAUAUUAUUAUAGAGCAUUUCAAUCUAAUAAGAUAUGAAAUUUAUAUUCUGAUUUUAUUACGCUAUAUAUAAGAAAUUACUAAUUACUGAGUAAAUUGGAAUGCAAUAUUUAUCGUACUCGACGGUGUUUAAAUGUUACAGGCCUAACCAGAAACUAAUUUGGUCUGAAGAUAUAAUAACAUCAAUUUGUUUUGUAGUUAAUUUGUAAAUCAUUUGGAAAUAGAAUAUUCUGUUAUAUUUGAUAUGAAUUAUGGCUAAUAUAAUGGAUUCAAUAUCGAACAUACUUGGCAUUGAUAAAGUAAAUAUGGAUGGAAAAUUAAUUUGCAUAGAAGAACAACAUGAUAGUAAUGCAAGCUUUUUAUUGAGUUGUGUUAUAUUUAAUGCAUUAAAAAAGAAUUAUCGAAUAUGUUUUAUAUUAUUUCACAAUACAAUGAAUCAUUAUCAUAAUAUGGGUGUGAAAUUUGGUUAUAAUCUUAUGUUAUUGAAAGAAAAACAUAAAGUUACAGUUAUAGAACCAAUGAAGUUUAUUGUAUCUAAUAUGGGAUAUACAUGUGAACAAACAGCAAACAAUAUUAUUCAUGAUAUAUUUUUAACUAUUAAAAAUGAGUAUGACAAAAUAGUACAAAACAAUGAACCUGUUACUAUUAUAAUUGAUGAUUUUAGUCAUAUUUAUAAUUUUGGAUGUAAUUUGAGAGAAUCUACAUAUUAUGUAAGAUAUUUAAGAUCACUUGUUGAAUAUUACAACAAAUCUCAACUUUGUAUUAUAACACACACUUAUAAAGAUGAGCCAAAAAAUUCUGUUUCUAAUAUAUUUGCAUAUGGGCUUAAACACAUGGCUGAUUUAUUUGUUAAAAUUGAGCCUCUGGAAACAGGAUAUUCUAGUGAUGUAUCUGGAAAUAUAACAAUUAAUUGGAAAAUGGAUGAUAUCAGAACAAAAUAUAAUUGGUCUGAAGUAGCAAGAUAUAUAUAUAAAUUAUCAGAUCGUCAAGUACAAAUUUACGCACCUGGUGCAUCAGCUUUAUUAGCAUAAAGCAAGUUUUCUGGAAACUUAUUUAUAUUUCUAUAUGAUAUGCAUAUAUACAGAAAAAUAGCAAUAAACCAUUUUAUUCAAUAAGUGGUACAUAAUUCUGGAUUUCAUUAUAACUUUUUAAAUUAUAAUUUCGUAAUUUAUAGUUACAAAACUGAUCUUUGUGGUUUGUUUUAAUUUAUUAAAAUAAUUAGUAAAAUGGCAAUAGCAACAAUAAAAAUAUCAUAUUUAAAAAAUUGGAAUAGAAACAGAUGUAAUUUUUAAUAAUGGAUAAGUCCUCUAUCAUAAUUAUUUGCAAUUUGCAAUUUGUGUAUCAUAUUGUAUCUUAUAACAUGGAACAUGUCAUCUGUACUUACAUUAUAUACAAUACUUGUAUGUAUGCAGUACAGUAUAAAAUAUAUAUUAAUUUGUAGCAGAAUUUAUUUCAUUUAAUUUAUAGGAUAAAUACAUCAGUAAGGAACAAUUGAAAAAAGAUAGCAUAAAAGAAUAAUUUAAUACCUCUUUUUUUUAAUUUUCUAUAAAUUAAGUUCUGUCUCCCGAUUGUGAUAGAUUUAAAUAUAAAUAUUAAGGAUUGAUAUCUAUUGGAUAUUAUCCAAGUUAUAAAUAAAUGUAUAUGAAUAUAUGCACAAAUAACAGAUUAUAUUCGCACAAAAUUUAUUCUACAACUUCUUCAACAAUAAAUUAUAUGUAUAUAUGUAUGCAUGCAUAUACCUAUGCACAGAAUUUCAUUAUGAUUUAAUAUAUAUCCAUUCACUGCUAUUAUUGAUACAAUAAAGUUUAGGAAAAAGUAUACAAUGCAAUUACAUAUGUUCAGAAUUAGUUCAAUUCUGAAAUAAACAGUCCACUCUGUAUACAUACACAUAUAUAUGUGCAUACGUACAAACAUAUUACAGAUGAUGUUUUAUACUACACAUACAUAAUACAUACAGAUGUAGACGUUUAAAACAAGUCGUCAAAAUAAUUUAAACAUUUAUGGAGAUAGUAAAAGAAAUGGUAAAUAAAAAUUGUUUGAUAUGGAAUAUGAUGUCAAGACAAAUAUAAUUACUCGUUAUAAGAUUUGAAUUAAGAGUACAGAAAGUUGAUACUUCAUAAUUCAUAAUUAAUACACUUUUUACUAGACCCUUUAAUCGAUUGAACUAAAAUAUUAAAUGCAUAAACCUUAUUAUAUACACAAUUAUAUGAUUUGAAAUGAUAAUUGUGGUCUAU